AGGCUCGUAGCGUAAUGGCAGCGCACCCGGCUCUUACCCGGUGAGGCAAGGGUUCAACUCCCUUCGAGCCUA
rnacentral:tRNA from 1 species